CAGGACUGAGCGACUUUCACUUUUUUUUUCUCUUUAACUAAAAAGGAUUAUCCUUGGUUUUUAUUUUUUUUCCAAAUCUUGGUUCUGACUCUACAUACAUGAGAAGAGAAAGUAAUCUGAGGAAAAAUAGUUGCUUUUCUCUUCCAGUAGAGUUCCAUGGUUGUGAACAGUCUCAAGCCCAAUCUCUGGCCUUAUUCCUAUGUUCUCAAGUCCUGGUUGUCUCCACAGAGUCCAUUUUCUAUGAUAUGCUGAAGUCAGUCAAUUGCACUUUUUCCCUUGCCAGAAGUCACACAUAUUGGAUACCUGGUAUGCUGGGCCUACAAGCAUACACCCCUAACUUUAUAGGAGGAACAGUAUGGUAACAACUGCAAGGUGUGAUACCAUCGUUCAGCAACUGAAAUGUGACUUCCAAAUCAUGGAAAACAUUCUUUCAUAUCAACAUUGGACAACCUUAGUGUGAGCAGAUAUUUUUCUCAAAUACAUUAAUCAUCAGAUCAGAAGCAUCACUCCCUCAAUGUCAGAAUAUUGGAAGUUGGCUCCCAAUCACAAUUAAAUAAAAGUCCAAUAUCAG
rnacentral:lncRNA from 1 species